rnacentral:tRNA from 1 species
UAGUAAGAAGUAAAUUUUACAUUUAGUUUCGACCUAAAAUUUUGGUUAUAAUAACCCUUACUUU